rnacentral:piRNA from 1 species
UGACAUCUCUGACUUUCUGGGUCUCCAUU